UACGGGGGGGGCAAGCGUUGUUCGGAAUUACUGGGCGUAAAGGGUUUGUAGGUGGCUUGCUAAGUCAGACGUGAAAUCCCUCAGCUUAACUGGGGAACUGCGUCUGAGACUGGUGAGCUUGAGUGCAGGAGAGGAACGCGGAAUUCCAGGUGUAGCGGUGAAACGCGUAGAUAUCUGGAGGAACACCGGUGGCGAAGGCGGCGUUCUGGACUGCAACUGACACUGAGGAACGAAAGCCAGGGGAGCAAACGGG
rnacentral:rRNA from 1 species